GCGCAGCAGUCGCGAAACCUCCGCAAUACACGAAAGUGUGACGGGGCCAUCCCGAGUGCCGUCCGCUGAGGACGGCUUUUCCCCAGUGUACACAGCUGGGGGAAUAAGGAGAGGGCAAGCCUGGUGUCAGCCGCCGCGGUAAUACCAGCUCUCCGAGUGGUGGGGACGCUUAUUGGGCCUAAAGCAUCCGUAGCCGGCUGGGCAAGUCCUCCGUUAAAUCCAACGAUUCAAUCGUUGGGCUGCGGGGGAUACUGUCCAGCUUGGGGGGCGGGAGAGGCCGACGGUAUUCCCGGGGUAGGGGUGAAAUCCUAUAAUCCCGGGAGGACCACCAGUGGCGAAGGCUGUCGGCUAGAACGCGCCCGACGGUGAGGGAUGAAAGCUGGGGGAGCGAACCGGAUUAGAUACCCCCGUA
rnacentral:rRNA from 1 species